AGACCUGGAUUGUGAUUCUUGAUUUUUAUUUCCAAGUGUUGUCAUGACAACAGUGGAAGCUGUGAAUUUUAACUGGGUCGGAGACAACGGUAUCACGGUGACUUCCCACUCAGCUACCUGCCGGGCAGGCAGCCGCCCGCCUAGAAUUGGAGAUAUCCCAAAACACGCAGCAGUAGAUGAUGAGUCCCCCUCGACGUCUUUCGACCCAUCCCUGCGACAUGACCUCGCUCGAAGGUACAAGAGGAUCGCUCAGCUCAGCCAGACAGAGCUGGCGGCGCCUCCGCGGUCCAAACCCGCGCCUGUGCCCGUGGCGACGGUCACCGAGUACAAGAAUCCCUUACCCAGCCGGAGAUCCAGAUCGAUGCGGGGGAACUGGCCCCCCUCCUCAAUCAGACCCAGCAGUCGCAAAACCUCUCCACCCGGCCCAUCUACCCCAACGUCCCUUUCUCCCCCUACUCCUCACCCCGCUCCGUCCGGCGGCGGCCCCCGCUCAAGGAGAGCCGGAGGGUCAGCAUCGACAAGUCCGGCAGCUUCCUUCAGCUCAACCAGUACCGCCUCCUCGAGACUAUCGGACAGGUCGGAUAGGACCUAAUCGCAAAAGUGCCAAUCCUUUAGACAAAGUGUACAGAGAGAUAGCUGUCCUCAAGAAACUGGAUCAUCCGAAUUGUAAAGUUGGUCGAAGUUCUGGACGACCCUGAUGAAGAUCAUCUAUAUUUAGGUUGGUACCAUUUACUUCUCGACCUUAAUCAAACCUCACCAUGCUAUUCAGAUGCGUUCGUUUCGUACACCGUACAGUGGACAGAGUCAAUCAGAUAGUUCGGACAGGAAAUUUUUUAAUAAAACUGCAAAUUUUGAUGUUUAUUUCGUCACAUUCGUGCACGAUAUCAGCUCCAAGCAGUUGCUCUGGUAUGGACAUGUGCGGAGGAUUGCAGACGAUCGGUUGCCCAAGCAGGUUUUCGAUUGGGUUCCUCCCGGAAGGCGACGGCGUGGACGUCCUGUGAAAGGUUGGCGACAAGGGGUGGAGGAGGAGAUCAGAAGGUGCCAAUUGCCGGAUGAUCUCUGGGAGGAUAGGGGGCAAUGGCGAUUGGGCGUCGCAGAGCGCGAGGCUGCGCUAUAAAAGCGGCUUUACGUAUUUCGUCUCAUUUUAAAUUUCAAGGGGUGCCUCCAGAGAGAAAGUUUACGAGGAAACCAAUGAAACCACUUUUAGAACCUCAAAGUUUUGUAUAAACGGAGUUAUAAGCAUUUGAAGUUUCCAAAUUUUGUCCGACCUCUGCUAUUGACUAGUCCCAUUUUGCGCCGAGUAUUUUCGUAAAAGUCAUUCAUUUGUAUACGCACGGAUGUAUCCUACUUUAAUCGAGCAACAUGUGGCUAAAAAUCCCACGACGCACGCCCAUCUCCUAAACGCUGGCAUGCCUAGGGAAAAGUUUAAUGAAGAGAUAAUCCAAUUUUCAGCGGAAGACCAGUUACUUUGAAACUCCUGUUGAGAGCCAGUAAAAACGGAACUUUGUGCUCGGGUCCAUAAAAUCGGGGGAGGAGGGGGGUAGGGUGGGAGUGAGACACUGUCACGCAACGGUCUCGAAGGCCGAAACUUAGACGUCAACUCUUUUGAUGAGCUUCCAUCCGUAAAAUGAGCCAAUCAGAGUGCAACGUCUCCGAGGUGACUGCGUUGUCAACGUGUUUCGGAAUCCCCCUGCGUUCGUCUCGUUUUCGGCGAGUUUUCUUUUUUCCAUCGAUCUGGCUCGUUUUGGGCCUAACGAUCCGUGAACGGGCCUCGAGACAUUAAUCAAAUGCAAAUAACCCAUAGUGAAUCCCAUUUCGCGUGUAUUUAAGGUGGAUCCCAGGAUUUUAGUCAAGGUAAAACACCGUAUGAGCCUUCAGACGUUGCCAAAUUUCCUUCGACAAAUAUCUAAUUUUCAAGAAAAUUUGUGCAUAUUGUUCUUCCAAUUUCUCGGAUAAUAUUGUUCGUAAUUUGAUCUAAAAAGUCGGAAAAUGUCAAGGGAAAAUGUUGAUAAAUUUCUUCAAAAAUAACUAUUUUAUUGAGAGAAAUUUGGCAACGCUCGAAUGUUCGUGCGGCGUUCUUCUUCAGCACGGCAGGGUAUUUUAGAUUUUAGUCCUCCAUGAGUGCUCAUUUCGAAAACCUAAAUUUCAUUCUGCGACAGGGUCGGAUGUAUAAUGUAGGCGCACUAAGGGCUCGCAUCACAAAGGUUAAUUGCGAUGUAUCGAUUGUAUGCCAUUUAAACUCAUGUAAAGAAUCGAUUAUUAAGGUGUUCGCUGCGAACACCCUGUUCAUCGAUCCUUUUCCAUAGGUUUAAAUAUCAGACCAAUCGAUGUAGGUAUCGAAAAGUUCAAGUAUUACGUAACGCACUUUUUCCGAUUUCUUGACCCCCCUCCUACCGCACCCGUAACGCAGCCUUACGCCCCCCUUUUGAAUUACGUAACGCUGGCCUGACCCCCCCCCCCCAGGGUGGUCCUUAUUUUGGUCUUUUGAGAAAUUCUAAGUGUCUACUGAAAAAAUGAUG
rnacentral:lncRNA from 1 species